GUUUAUAAAUAGCCGCAGUAAUUUGACUGUGCAAAGGUAGCAUAAUCAUUUGCCUUAUAAUUGAGGGCUAGUAUGAAUGGAUUAACGAAAGUUUUUCUGUCUCUAGUUUAUAAUAAUAACUUGUAUUUAAUGUGAAGAUACAUUAAUUUUUUAGUGGGACAAGAAGACCCUUUUGAGCUUUAUUUAGAUUUUUUUUUUUAAUAAGUUUUAAUUUGGUUGGGGCGACCUGUGAAGAUUAAAAUUUUUAGAUCUUCUUUUAAGAAUAAAGAACCAUUAGUUUUGGGUUUUAGAUUAAGUUACCAAAGGGAUAACAGCGUAAUUUUUUUUUAGAGUUCUUAUUAAAAAAAAAGAUUGCGACCUCGAUGUUGACUUAUGAUU
rnacentral:rRNA from 1 species